UGGGGAAUAUUGGACAAUGGGCCACAAGCCUGAUCCAGCAAUUCUGUGUGCACGAUGAAGGUCUUCGGAUUGUAAAGUGCUUUCAGUAGGGAAGAAUAAAUGACGGUACCUACAGAAGAAGCGACGGCUAAAUAUGUGCCAGCAGCCGCGGUAAUACAUAUGUCGCAAGCGUUAUCCGGAUUUAUUGGGCGUAAAGCGCGUCUAGGCGGUUUACUAAGUCUGAUGUGAAAAUGCGGGGCUCAACUCCGUAUUGCGUUGGAAACUGGUAGACUAGAGUACUGGAGAGGUGGGCGGAACUACAAGUGUAGAGGUGGAAUUCGUAGAUAUUUGUAGGAAUGCCGAUGGAGAAGUCAGCUCACUGGACAGAUACUGACGCUAAAGCGCGAAAGCGUGGGGAGC
rnacentral:rRNA from 1 species